UACGUAGGCAGCGAGCGUUGUUCGGAGUUACUGGGCGUAAAGAGUGCGUAGGCGGUUUUCUAAGUUUGGUGUGAAAUCUCCCGCUUAACUGGGAGGGUGCGCCGAAAACUGGAAGGCUUGAGUAUGGGAGAGGUAAGCGGAAUUCCUGGUGUAGCGGUGAAAUGCGCAGAUAUCGGGAGGAACACCAGUAGCGAAGGCGACACUCUGGGCCGGUACUGACGCUGAGGAGCGAAAGCGUGGGGAGCAAACAGG
rnacentral:rRNA from 1 species